GCUCAGAUUGAACGCUGGCGGCAGGCCUAACACAUGCAAGUCGAGCGGAUGACGGGAGCUUGCUCCUUGAUUCAGCGGCGGACGGGUGAGUAAUGCCUAGGAAUCUGCCUGGUAGUGGGGGACAACGUUUCGAAAGGAACGCUAAUACCGCAUACGUCCUACGGGAGAAAGCAGGGGACCUUCGGGCCUUGCGCUAUCAGAUGAGCCUAGGUCGGAUUAGCUAGUUGGUGGGGUAAUGGCUCACCAAGGCGACGAUCCGUAACUGGUCUGAGAGGAUGAUCAGUCACACUGGAACUGAGACACGGUCCAGACUCCUACGGGAGGCAGCAGUGGGGAAUAUUGGACAAUGGGCGAAAGCCUGAUCCAGCCAUGCCGCGUGUGUGAAGAAGGUCUUCGGAUUGUAAAGCACUUUAAGUUGGGAGGAAGGGCAGUAAGUUAAUACCUUGCUGUUUUGACGUUACCGACAGAAUAAGCACCGGCUAACUCUGUGCCAGCAGCCGCGGUAAUACAGAGGGUGCAAGCGUUAAUCGGAAUUACUGGGCGUAAAGCGCGCGUAGGUGGUUUGUUAAGUUGGAUGUGAAAGCCCCGGGCUCAACCUGGGAACUGCAUCCAAAACUGGCAAGCUAGAGUACGGUAGA
rnacentral:rRNA from 1 species